GUGGUAAGGGGUUGAGUGCUGAAUAAACACUAGUCAAAGAUCCUCUAUAUAGAGGAAGCACUUCUGUUUUCAAACACCCACUUCUUAAACACACAGUAAAAGCAUAUAUAGACUUUAUGAAUGCAAAGAAAGGGAUUUUCCUUCCAAAUCAGUGGCUUGAUAUCAAGCUAGUUUAGUCAAAUAGAGAAAAUACUUUACAGUGUCAUAUUGAACGACAGGGUAAGGUUGGGUGAAUAACUAUGCUGUCCAAAUACCUUUUAAGAUAAAUGCAAGUGUAAGAUAGUCCAACUGGAUUAUUAAAGCAGGUUAUUCCAGGUGACAUUUGGGGCUGGCAAGGAAGUAAGCCUAGCUCAACAUCAGCAGGUUUAAUUUGAAGGUGGUGGAAACACAUCUGAAGGUGUCUUUCUCAGCAAGGAAAUGAUGUUCUUGUUUGUUCCACUCAUGUGGUUGUUUUUUGCAGCUUAUGUUCUUGGGUUUUAUUUCCUCCAAAAGAGAUGGGCGGCAGAUGCAGAGCUGCAAAUACAGAAGUGAGAUUGCAUUGGGCGCCAGUUAAGUAAGCGAAUAUCUUUGACGGACGUUACUUCGUCAUUUGUACACGGUGCUGGAGUACCAUGCAUGGAGGGAAAGUCAUCCACAAAACGGUUAAAGGCAAGAGCAGCUGUCUAUCGAGUGCACAGACAACCCGUUGGGACAACCAGCAGUCGUAGUAUACGGUGAUGAAACAUUCCCCAUGGUCGUGGAACCACCGAGACCUGAGGCACCACGCAACGACUACAAUAACAACACUAUAUUAUAUAAUUAUCAUACUUUUAUACAUAUUAUUUUAUUUAUUGUGUACGACUCAGACAUCCUUUCAAAUAUUAAUAUAAAUAUUUGAUUUAAAGGAUGUUUUGUGUAUU